UCGCCCGCAAGUCGCCCCCGCACAUUGACUUGGCGCUAGAGUCCCUAGGGGACUCUGAUUGCUGGUGAGUGAGCGUGAGUCAUCGGCGAGCCUAAUAAACUUUUAGUUCGUGCCUUUGACGACUAACCAUCAAUUGGCUCCGCGUUCAAAAUACAGUUGGUCCUCGCACAUUAAAAAAAAUCACGUUCAAUGUUUCAACAAAUUGCCAAGUGACCGGUCACGUGACUGUACGCGCGAGGAACACCAAGAAACACCGCGGCCGUCCAACUACGUCAGAUUUGCACCCGUCAAACAGGGCAACCUGGACGAUCGGCGACGUGCUCGUAUGUACGUUUCCACGCGAUUCAUCGGUUUCACGCGAUCGUUUCUUCAACUCCGGAUUGUUCAUAGUGCCACGUAAAUUCGCAGGAUUUUCUCAUCCCGCAACUCGCAAUUAUGAUAUCUCUUCAGUCUCACAAUCAGGUCUUGUACCAUCUAACACAAUUGGCAUUGACAGCAACUCCUAGAACAACUUCAUAUUCGGUUCAAGUUAAGAAACAGGACGAGUCUUUACAAAAGAAUGCAGAGGAGACAAUAAUUUAUCCUGGUAGUCUCGAGGAGGCGGCAAGAAAUUGUACUGAGUUACCAGAUGUAAAUUUGAGCACUUUAAAUGGGUUGCAAAUGAAGAACAAUAAGGCAUGCUUAAUGCUGGAUAACAUAGCUGUCAGUGUAUUUAGAAAAUCCUUGCAGGAGAAUAAUAAAUGGAAAGUGUCUUACUUAUCUGGCCUAAGUUUUGCUGAGAACAAACAGGACUUUCCAUGCUCCUCAUUUACAGAGCCCAUCAUUCUACCUGUCAUUUAUCUAACGUCGAAACAGCAACAUAGAUUGUUGCAUACAUGGUACUGCAAGAAACUACACAAUCAUACGUCGAUUCGUACUUUCAAGUCUCAACGUAAUAUAAAAAUAGAAUUGGAGCAGAAUCCACCAUUAAUGAGUAGACUAAAGAAAUGGCUUGGUCUGUCUUCUAAUGUACAAAUGAGUUUGGUACCUGAACUAAAGGGUUCGGAUUAUGAAAAACUAAAAAAUAUCUUCAACAAUACUGAGGCAACAGUCGACGAACAGAAGAGAAUAAAAAUGGCGUUUGUAGAGGGAUACGAAUCUGGAUUACAACGUCAGAUGCGGGGCCGAACAAUGUGGCUAAAAGUCAUGCAGAAUAUAAUAACUGUCUCUGCUAUUAUUGUUGUAAUUUGGCUUUAUCUCAGCUAUCCAGGAGGAGGAAUAUUUAAGCUUCCUAUGAGCCAUAGGAUUGAAAUUGAUCCUGAGGACAUCCAUGUCACUUUUAGCGAUGUUAAAGGGGUAGAUGAGGCAAAACAAGAACUUCUAAAUGUAGUAGAAUUCUUAAAGAACCCUGACAAAUUUUCCGCCCUUGGCGGAAAAUUGCCGAAGGGAGUAUUGUUGGUUGGCCCGCCAGGAACAGGAAAGACUUUGUUAGCGCGUGCAGUCGCCGGAGAAGCCGGUGUGCCAUUCUUCCAUGUGGCGGGCCCUGAAUUUGAUGAGAUCCUCGUUGGCCAGGGAGCCCGACGUGUCAGAGAUUUGUUUAGGGCGGCUAAAGAAAAGGCACCGUGCGUAGUAUUCAUUGAUGAGAUCGAUUCCGUGGGUGCAAAAAGAACGAACUCGGUUCUUCAUCCUUAUGCAAAUCAGACAAUUAAUCAAUUACUUUCCGAGAUGGAUGGCUUUCGUCAAAAUGAAGGCGUCAUUGUUCUUGGAGCCACGAAUAGACGCAAGGAUCUCGACAAAGCGCUAAUGCGUCCUGGCCGUUUCGAUGUUGAGAUUUAUGUUAACAAGCCUGAUUAUUUGGGCCGUAAGGAAAUAUUAGACCUCUACUUAGCCAGAAUAUUAACACAUGAAGUCGAUACGGUUUAUUUAGCACGCUGUACUACAGGAUUUACCGGAGCUGAUCUUGAAAACAUGGUAAAUCAAGCUGCAUUGCGCGCAGCGAUUGAUGAAGCAGAUUGUGUCACUAUGAAACACUUGGAAUAUGCUAGGGAUAAAGUGUUGAUGGGCCCAGAAGGCAAACUAAAAUUACGCGAUGAGGAAGUCAAUCGCAUUACAGCAUACCACGAAGCAGGACAUGCUCUAGUAGCCUUUUAUACAAAAGAUGCUACGCCGCUUCAUAAGGUCACUAUUGUACCACGAGGACCAUCAUUAGGCCAUACUUCCUAUAUGCAUGAGAAGGAUGUUUAUCAUAUUACGAAGUCGCAACUGUUAGCCAAUAUGGAUUCCAUGAUGGGUGGCAGAGCUGCAGAAGAGUUAGUAUUUGGACCAGAAAAAGUAACAACAGGAGCUUCUUCCGAUUUAGUGGAGGCGACGAAAAUAGCGGAGAUGAUGGUGAAGAUUUACGGAAUGUCAGAGAAAGUGGGAUUCAGGUCAAUAGUGGAGAAUAAGAAGCUUUUCGGUAGCGGCAGCACGUACGCGCCAAGCACGAACGAGCUCAUCGACAAUGAAGUAAAGCGGCUUUUACAGGAAUCAUAUGAACGUGCGAAAACAAUUUUAAAAACGCACGCAAAAGAACACAAGCAAUUAGCAGAAGCUUUAUUGCAGUACGAGACAUUGGACGCGGAUGAUGUGGCUGCCAUAGCAAACGAAACAGGACUUAGUAAACGGGAAUCUUCUGCAGAUCCAAAGAGAUCGACGAAAUGAUCUUAAUUUAAAUAUAAUUAUUUGAUAACAUUUAUCAAAAAAUGAAUCAGUUUUUGGUCUGCGUUUAUUUAAUAUAAAAUUUGAACAAUCCUACUUUCUUCAAAAAUGGAAUUCAUCGAGAUUGAUGACAGGAAUCAAUAUUUUUGUCUUCCUUUUACACUUGGGAUUCGCAAUCGAUAAAUCGCAAAGUGUUCAGCGAAUAUAUCGAGUAUAAUAAAUUUUAAUUUCAAUGGAUAUAAGUAUAAAUUGUAUUGAAUUAUGUAUAUACAUACACAAAUAUUUAUAUACAUAUCUCAGA